UACGGAGGGUGCAAGCGUUAUCCGGAUUUAUUGGGUUUAAAGGGUCCGCAGGCGGAAAAUUAAGUCAGUGGUGAAAGCCUACAGCUUAACUGUAGAAAUGCCAUUGAUACUGAUUUUCUUGAGUAUAGUUGAAGUGGGCGGAAUGUGUCAUGUAGCGGUGAAAUGCAUAGAUAUGACACAGAACACCGAUAGCGAAGGCAGCUCACUAAGCUAUUACUGACGCUCAUGGACGAAAGCGUGGGGAGCGAACAGG
rnacentral:misc_RNA from 1 species